rnacentral:rRNA from 1 species
GAUGAACGCUGGCGGCGUGCCUAAUACAUGCAAGUCGAGCGAACAGAUGAGGAGCUUGCUCCUCUGACGUUAGCGGCGGACGGGUGAGUAACACGUGGAUAACCUACCUAUAAGACUGGGAUAACUUCGGGAAACCGGAGCUAAUACCGGAGAAUAUAUUGAACCGCAUGGUUCAAUAGUGAAAGACGGUUUUGCCGUCACUUAUAGAUGGAUCCGCGCCGCAUUAGCUAGUUGGUAAGGUAACGGCUUACCAAGGCAACGAUGCGUAGCCGACCUGAGAGGGUGAUCGGCCACACUGGAACUGAGACACGGUCCAGACUCCUACGGGAGGCAGCAGUAGGGAAUCUUCCGCAAUGGGCGAAAGCCUGACGGAGCAACGCCGCGUGAGUGAUGAAGGUCUUCGGAUCGUAAAACUCUGUUAUUAGGGAAGAACAACUGUGUAAGUAACUAUGCACGUCUUGACGGUACCUAAUCAGAAAGCCCCGGCUAACUACGUG